rnacentral:rRNA from 1 species
UACGUAGGGUGCAAGCGUUGUCCGGAAUCAUUGGGCGUAAAGCGCGCGUAGGUGGCUUUGUAAGUCCGUUGUGAAAGUCAAAGGCUCAACCUUUGAAUGCCGAUGGAUACUGCGGAGCUAGAGUACGGAAGAGGCGAGUGGAAUUCCUGGUGUAGCGGGUGAAAUGCGCAGAUAUCAGGAAGAACACCCGUGGCUAAGGCGGCUCUCUAGUACGGUACUGACGCUGAGACGCGAAGCGUGGGAGCGAACAGG